rnacentral:misc_RNA from 1 species
CCAAACUUGGUCAUUUAGAGGAAGUAAAAGUCGUAACAAGGUUUCGGGGAGUCGGCCAGUGAUUCUAUGGAAGCCUUGUCCCCAAGUCUACAGCCAAAUUUAGGCCCUGGAAUGUAGGCAACAUCAGAGAUCUGACUGGGACCUACGCAGAAGUUUAGUAACCAGCAGCCAUUAGUAAAAGUACAUCUAAUGGUUCACAGAUCAAUUACUGGUGGUUCCAGUUCGUGGAAUUAAAAUAUGACCCGUAGGUGAACCUGCGGAAGGAUCAUUAAAGGUUUAGGGUACUCUGUGCCCAAACUUCAACCCUAUGUCUUGUUAAAUCUGUUUCUUUGCCGGUUUCUAUCGGCAGAAGAUUUCUCAAACUCAUUAUAAACGUGACAUCUGAAUUAGAAAUAAAUAAAUCAAAACUUUCAACAACGGAUCUCUUGGUUCUGGCAUCGAUGAAGAACGCAGC